rnacentral:rRNA from 1 species
AUGACAAACGUGGAUGUGGAAUUGGAUAGUCAAGUGCUUGUCAACGCCCUGAAAAGCAAUGAAGCUGACCUGGCUCCGGAAGGAAUCCUGUUUCGGGAGAUACGGGCCUUUGCCCGGCUGAACUUCAGCAAAGUGAGCUUCUCUUUCGCCCCAAGGAUUUGUAAUAAUCUUGCUCAUGCAUUAGCAGCCUUUGGUGCUAGUCGCCAUGUAAUUCACGAGCUUUGGUCGAAGGACCUGCCGAAUGAUGUAAACGUCCGAUUGGCCAGCAGUUUGGCUGGACCAGGUUAA